CACCAGCAGACCCUCCCUCCCUCCCAGACCCUCCCACCUCCUGGACAGCAUCCAUUUUGAAGCUGCAUUCUUAGUGAGCUGUCCAGUAGGUGGGAGGGUCUGGGAGGGAGGGUCUGCUGCUGAU